rnacentral:lncRNA from 1 species
AUCGUCUUAGAAAUCCUGCAAUGUCUGGUGGUUAUCCUCAGCAAGGUUACCAAUCUCGUCCACCCUCUAACUGGGCUCCCCCUGCUCCAAUGCAGCAGCCUGGUUAUGGUUAUAUGCAGCCUGGUGGAUAUUCUGGUCCAUCACCUCAGUAUAAUAUGCCUCAACCACCAUAUGCGGGCUAUCCUCCUCAACAACCAGGUGGAUAUUCCACUAGCUGGGACCAGUCUUCUGCACCACCUCACCAACAGUCUACUCAUGCUGGCGGCUAUGAUUACUAUAGUCAACAGCCACAGCAACCGCAAAAUCCUGGAGGGCCAGCACCUCCAGGGGAUAGCUCUGCAUACAGUUACAGUCAACCACCUUCAUCUGGUUAUAGCCAACCGGGACAGGGUUAUUCUCAGGACAGCUAUAAUGCAUACAAUGCACAGUCUCAAUCAGGGUAUGGACAGCCACAAACAUAUGAUCAGCAGCAAGGCUAUGGCUCAGCUACUACUGGCUAUGGUAGUGGGAAUAACCAAGCGCAAGAGGGCCACACUGCAAGCUAUGCAUCGCAGGGAGAUUCAGGCCCAGCUCCAUCUACCCAACCGACCACACAACAAGGUUAUCCUACCAGCCAACAGCCCAGCUCAAACACUGCCAACUACCCAGCUCAGGGAACUCCUCAGUCAGGUUAUGGGGUUCCCCCGACCUCCCAAGCUGCUUAUGGAAGUCAACCACAGCCAGGUUACGGACCUGGUUAUGGAGCCCCUCAAUCUCAGAAACCAAGUGGCAAUCCUCCUGUUUAUGGACAGUCGCAGUCACCCGGUGCGGUGGGAGGCUAUGGUCAGUCAGCAUAUCCUGCUCAGCCUCCACCUUCCGGUUAUACUCAACCCCAAGCAGAAACGGGUGCUCAGAGAGCACCUCCAUCGGGCUAUGGUGCAGGGCAACCAGGUUAUGGUUCUCAAACAUAUGGUGCAGCUCAGGGUGGCCAGCCUGCUUAUGGUCAGGUACCACCUCCUUACAGCAACAGUUCUUAUGGUGCUGGUUAUACUCAGGCUCCCGCAUAUACUGGCGAUGGUAAUGGCAGUGGAAAUACGCAGCCUCCUCAGACUGCUGUUGCUAAAGCAUCGCCUCAGACUUGAUAUUUUUGUCUCCCUUCUCUCAUGGACUAUCGUUUUUAGUUGUGUUUUACUGAUCCUUAUUUUUCUAGUGACACUAUGUAGCGUUGCAUUGUUUAGAUGGAAAAAAUCGUGUAUUGAUAUUUUCUACAUUAUCCGGUUCUGUAUGGUUGAAUAGGAGCUCAUUUUUAUGUUGUUUGAAGUUGAGAUGAAAAUAACUUCCCAUUUUUAUGCUAGUUUCAGUUGUAAAUAAGGCUUUAAGGUUUCGUUUGGAAUAGAGAUUUUUUAAGAAUUAUCUUAUUAUGAAUUUAGUGAUUUUUGUAAGUGUUUUGAGAAAAAUUUAAAAUAAAAUUAUAUCCAAACGUAACUUUUUAAUAAAUUAUGAAAACAAUAAUAUUUUUUAUGAAAGUAUCUGUUAACACGGGUAACAGAUUUUUGAAUCCGAUUCUGUAGAAAUACAUACAAACGAAGAAAGAGAGUAUAAUAGAAUUUGAAAACUUAUAAAAAAAAUUGACCGUUUUUAUACUUGUAAAAGUUAAUACUUUUAUUUUUCAUUUUGGUAUUUUAUUGCCCAAGAAUAGCAUGUUUUAUUUUCAUCUCUUAGUGGAUUUUGCAUAAAAAUUGAAUAAUACUUGAUGAUGCUUGUUUGGUUUAGAGUGUUAGAUGGAUGUGAAAAAUGAAAAUUGUUUAAACCAAUUCCAACUCAUAUAAUAUUGAGCUAACAUACACUAAAAUCAUAUUCUAAAAAGAGGUAAGUCUGUCAAAAUUUUCUAAAAACUUGCAACUAUGGUUUAGAUAAUUGGACAUGACACUUUUUUCAAAAUCGACCAAUUCAAUCUAUAAAUAAAACUAUUGUAAUGUCGAAAAUUCAAAUCUUUUCCCAUAAAACCCAAUGUUAAAAAUAUUAGUGACUCUUGGAAUAUUAUUGGUGAGCAAAACAGAAAUGGGAAUUGGAUUUUCUCUUUUGCCAAGGCUAUUUGAAACUGUGGAUCAUAACUUCUGAUAAUUUCAUUCAAAAAAUAUAUUUUAAUAUAAAGUGAAAGUUAUAUAUUUAUCGAAAAUAAAAAAUAAAUAUUAAAAAAGAUAACAAAGAGAAAGAGUAAUAGGAAUGCCGUUAUCUAAAUUAUAAGUCAGUUGUUAAUAUACUAACUCAUUAUAAAGUUUCUCUUAAGUCAUAUAUAUUUAUUUUUUUUCUUAUAAGAUUCUUAGAUAUUUUUAAGAAUUUAUUAAAGAACCUCAUUAAUUAAUAUUUUUUAAUUCAACCCUUAUUGUUGGAAGAAAAAAAAAGAUUGGUUAUAUUCUGAAAAAAGAAAACUUAGUUGAAUCCCUAUUAAAGUACACGAUUAUACAUUUAUUUAUAAAUACAUCCAAUAUUAUCGUUAGUGGAAAAAUCAUUUUUUAUGAGGAGUAAAAAUGAUUUAUUAUGAUGGGUAACCUGACAUAAUAGUUUUGGGCAUCAUAAUAGGUCUGCACAUUUUAUGACGGACAGAAAAGUCCAUAAUAAUAGGUCCUAUUAUGACGGACUUUCUGUCAUCUAUUAUAAUAGGUCCAGUGUAUUAUGACGAAUUUUCACUUAUCAAUCAUAAUAUAGCGAAUUUAUUAUGAUGCAACUAAAUUUACCUAUGAUAAUAUGUAGUGUUUUAUGACUAAGAUUUUUUCACCUGUCAUAAUAUGUAGAACAUAUAAGUAAUUGUUCACCUAUCAUAAUAUAUAUUUUUCAGAAAUAAGUUUUUAUUACAAACAUUGUUCACCACCUAUAAUAAAAACUUGUUUUGUAAAAAUAAAUCAUUAUUACAUUUGACAUAUCCAUUCAAUUUACAAUUAAUUUCCUGUAUUAUAAUCCCAUCAAUCAAUUUAUAAUCAAUAUAACAUGAAAUGAACAUAUUCAAUUAAACUAACAUAAUGAAAUUCAUUUUAAACAUAAUAAUAUUUAAUACAUAAUUUGUACAUCAAACCAUAUAUUAAUUCCAAAUAUAACAUUAACCUAUACUAUUACAUUGUAGUCAAGUUUCUACAAUUUACUAACAAUUAAAAUAAAAGAAAUCCACUUGUUUCUAGUGUCUUCAAUGUCUAGAGUCCAUUAGAGAUGAAUAAGUAAAGAUUUAUAAAUAAAAUAAUUAAGUUAGAAAAAUUUUAUAAUGAAGAAAUUAUUUUAUCAUACUAAGGUAUAGAAUAACAAAAGAUAAGACAUAACCAUGAAGGUCAUUUUACAGAUUGUUACAUCUUGAACAAUGGUCUGGAUAAAGCCAGAGACUUGACCAUUACUCCAAUGAUAAAAUAAUCACCAUUAUCAUAUAGCACAAAUACUACAACAAGCAAUAUGAGUACGUACCAACUUACUUUUUAAAAAUGACAUCAGGUUCACAAGCAAGAUCAAGUAAACAAAAGCUUUUUAAAAGACAACAGAGACAUGGAGCACCAAAAUGUGAUAUACCUAGGUUGCAUUUAUGCUAUCACGGUGAAACUGACAUAUCUUUCCAAGAAGUGAAACAACAUUGUCAUAUGCCAUUACGUUAUCAAGGAAGUUGUGCAUUUGGAUGUCUUAUCACAGUAUCUAACCUUGAGAGUGUCUCUACAGUAGAGCAGAUAAAAAAUAAAAUAAAAAAGAUAUAUAAUUGGCCGCGGAAAAACAGUUAAAUGGUGGUAUUGGGCAACUAACCUCCAACAAGGGGUUUGAAAACAAAUCCACCAAACUCAUCACACACACCAACACUAUAAACAACAGCCUGCAAAGACAUUUAAUUAUUUUGAGAAUAUUAUUAUCCCAGAUUAUAUUCUAAAAAUGGAAAGCAACACUAAUAUAUAGAAAACCAAGAAGGGGAAGUUAACUUUUCGAACAUCUGGAUAUUCAUCAUUGCAAGCUUCUAGUAAGAAUGGAAGGAAAGAAUCAUACUAUUUGUGCAACAAAAAGAAACAUGUAAAAAUAUAGAACAAAAUCAUUCAGGGUAAAGGGGAUAAAUUUUUUUUUUGCAAGGAAAUGUAGAAAAUCCACACAAGAACGAAAGACAUGGGACUCCCACAAGGAGGAAGCACUUACUUGAGAGCAGUUUCACGACAGUGCUCAAAAACAUCAUCAAAUAUACAAAUGGCAAUUCUCCUUUCCUAUGAGGUUUUAUCUUAGCCCUGAUAUUGAUUAUCAAUGGCGGAGGGACGAAAUGGGAUCAGAAAACAAAAUGGAAAAAAUUUCUAAGCUCAUAAUUUGUACAAAUAUAAAAAUGUCCACAUUCACAAAUAUAGACAAGUAGUUCAGUAGUAAAUUAGUAAUUGACAUAAUCCAAGUUAUUUUCGUGUGCUCUGGGAAGGGGCAUAAGAACAUUAGCAUAAAACCCAAAUUUCAUAUAGCAUUUCAGGAGGUUGCAUCGUCAUGAUAGAGGCUAGUUCACGUGAUAUUAUCCACUUUUUUCACUGGCUACAUCGCCUUUUCCCUAAUAAAAAAUGGCAUAUAUAACAAUCAAGAAAAAUGAAUAUCAACUUAGGAAAGAAAGAUAAUAGCUAGACAAGUUUUUUUUUUUUUCAUUCAAAUUAAUUGCCUUACAGAAAAACAUUUCACAAAAAACAAAAGGAAAUGCCAUGAGAGGAAAGAUAGACAACUUCAAAGCAAGAACGCCAAAAACUUAAGACUAAUUCUAGCAUCAAAUAUGUAUUAUUAGACAGACAGAAAGAAGCUUUUAUAUAUAUAUAUAUAUAUAUAUAUAUAUAUAUAUAUAUAUAUAUAUAUAUAUAUAUAUUAGUCUAAGCUUAACCUGACAAAGAGUUUUAGAUAAACGUGUUCUGUUAAGAUCAAUAAUAAUACAAAAAAAGGUACUCAAAUGUUUCCGUUGAAAGAGAAGUGUAUAAAUGUGGAAGAAAUUCACUCUUAAAGGAGGGUUGUUAGAAUUUAAAGUGUGAGUCUAAAUCUCACAUUCGAUAGAAAUGAUUAGAGAAUCUUGGAUUUUAAUGGUUUCUCUUUCAUGUUCAUCCAUUCCUUCUUCCACCGUCAUCUUUUUUUACCUCCCUUUUAUCGGCAUUACAUUUGACUCGUCCAUAUAUGUUUUUUUUCCCAUGAAAAAGAUGAAUUUUGUUAGUUUGUUUAUAGUCGUGGUGACUCUCCAAUAAUGAUCUCUUUAUCCACUAGAUGACAACAAUGCAUUCCUCAACCUUAAUUUGAAAAAAGAGAUUUACAUGGAGCAACUUUCCAAAUUUGUUGCUCAGGAGAGUCUUUUGGGUUGGUAUUUCAUCUUCUAUGUUGUCUUGAAAAUCAUUAGCAAUUUAGUGUCACUCAAGUGUAGAAGUUGAUAUUUUCACUAAAUCUCUAUAGAUUAUAUUAGUAAAAAGCUCGAUACAUACAAUUUGUAUGCAUUAACUAAAGGGGAAGUGUUAGAUAUAUUAUACAAGUGAGAUUAAUCCCAUACAUAAUUUUUUUCAUUAUAUUCAACAAAACCUAUGACAACUUAUCAAGUUUUAGUUUCUUCAAUCCUCAACAAGCAACAAUGCAUUAAGUUUAAUAGUCUUAAGAUUACUAAUGAACUAUAUUUUAUCCCUAAAUAUAAGCUCUAUUAAAUACUUAAUUUUAGUUUUAGGUUCAAAAGUCAUUUUGCAAUAUCUUAGUAACCAAUUAAGUCACAACAAGAAUUAAACAUAAAAAUCAAAUACCAAUAUAAGAAUGUAAAAGCAUGCGCGCGUACACACACACACACACACACACACACAUAUAUAUAUAUAUAUAUAUAUAUAUAUAUAUUAAUAACAAAAUAUACACAAAAAAUUAGUUUAGGGUUAAAUAUGUUUUUAUUCCCUAUACUAUCAAGCGGUUUUGGUUUUAGUCUCUCUUUCAAAGUAAGGUACAUUUUAGUCCUCCUUCCUAAGGAAACUUUAAUUUUAGUCCUCCAAAACUAACACCAUUAAAAACUAGCUGAUGUGGCUAACACUGUAAUGGCACGUCAUUUUUUUUUCUAACAUUAGUCAAUCUCCUUCAUUCGAAACCCAUGGACCACCACCAAGCCGCCAUCUGCACAUGGUUGUUGUUUCUCUGAUUGCAGGUGGCUUUUCACGGCAGCAAUUUAGGGCAUUUGGAGGUCGCGAUUUUUUGGUGUAUUUUCUGCAUUUUAGGUUACGAAGAUGGUGUCGCUGGUCAUGGGAGAUACUCGUUGAUGAAGACCGCGAGUGAAGGUGACUCUACUUCACGAUGGUGCUUAAUGGCGAAGGCAUGGUGGCGAGUCUGGAUUUGAGUUUUGUUGUAAGUGAUGGUGGAACAUGGAGCAGUUUUGUUGAGUCACGAUUUGCGACUUCUGUUUUGAAAUCUCUAUGCGAAGAAGAUGGAGGUCGAGGGUGAUGAACCCAUUGUGCUCUGGUGACAGCGGCCCAUGUUGAGGAUGCGAUUUUGGGUUCCCUUUUAUUCUGGGCUUCUGUGUUUUCUCUGACAGGUGCGAGAUCGAUGAUGACGCGAAGGUGGCAAGCUUCCUGGUGGCUGCCAUGGAGGAGAUUGAAUCUUGCGAUCUAGCGAAGAGAAACACGAUACUGGUUGCGCUCUGCGACAACUUAGUGGUGGUCCGAUGAAGAGUUUUUUGUUCGAAGGAUUUGGUGAAAACGAUGGAGGGAGCGGAAGAUGGAAGGAAGGAAACAGAAGGGAGAGAGGGGAGGGAGAAAAGCUGGGAAAAAUUAAGGUUUAAUACAUCUUUUGGUCCCAUCUUUUGGGACUUUUGUUCAAAAUGAUCCUACCUUCGGAAAAAAAUCACUUUGGUCCCAUAUUUCAUUAAAUGUUGUUCAAAAUGGUCCCUAUGGCAGACGACGUUAAAUUUUUAAUGGUGAAGUUGCUAGCGUGGCAAACGUCUAUCCACCUAUUUAAAAUUUAUAUCACGUGGCUUUUUGAAAACAUUUAAGGGUAAUUAAAAAACCCCUAAUUAAAAUCAAAUUAGAAAAUUAGGGUAGGUAAAAAACCCCUAACCCUAAUUGUUUUUCAAUUGUCGUGGAGAGAAGGCUCUGGGUUGUUCAUCUGCUGUUCAUUUGUCGCGAUUGGAGAUCACGUCAGUGGUGAUUGCUUGAAGGUGGUAGUUCAACAUUGACAGUUUUGACAAUUUUCUUACUGUCACUUUUCAUCAUCUUGUUUUUCUUCUUCUUAAUGUUGUAUUGCAGAGUUAAUUAAGCCCUGAAAUGAAAUUAACUCUAGUGGAGGGAAUCCACGAGUUUCCAGCAAUAAAAUUAGCAACAGUGAAUUUGGAAGCAUCUUCAACCUUAAGAACGUGAAAACCCUGCCACUGCACCCUCCCUGCGGUUCCAGCACCACCUCCUUCAUUGCCGUACUCCGCGAAAUACAAACUCUUCAAAACGGAGCUUCCAUACCCAGGCCACGCCACCCACCCUUUCGCCGCAAUCACUUCGUCGAUUCUACUCUGCAUCACCACCGAUCUCGAAUACUCCUUCCAGGGUCUCCCCAGAAACGAACUGUGCGACUGCUUAAAGUCCGAGGUCGGCGAUAUACUGCUCUUGUGAACGGAGAACCCAGUGUUCUGCCCGGGGUUAGAUCUAAAAACAAUUAGGGUUGGGGGUUUUUAAUUACCCUAAUUUUCUAAUUUGAUUUUAAUUAGGGGUUUUUUAAUUACCCUUAAAUGUUUUCAAAAAGUCACGUCAUAUAAAUUUUAAACAGGUGGAUAGACGUUUGCCACGCUAGCAACUUCACCGUUAAAAAUUUAACGUCGUCUGCCAUAGGGACCAUUUUGAACAACAUUUAAUGAAAUAUGAGACCAAAAGAUGUAUUAAACCAAAAAUUAACUAGUGUUAGAAAAAAAUGAUGUGCCAUUACACUGUUAGCUACAUCAGCUGGUUUUUAAUAACAUUAGUUUUGGAAGACUAAAAUUAAAAUUUAUUAAGAAAGAGGACUAAAAUAUACCUUACUUUAAAAUAUGAACUAAAACCAAAACCGCUGAUAAUAAAAUUGAAAUAAAUAAAUAAAUGUAAAAUAAAGUUUAUUUAUAACAAUGUAUCUUUAUUUUUUUGAUAGUUUAUUUAUACAAAGAAACACCCAUAAAAAUUGAAAUAAAGUUGGAAGUCCAUGGAUGACGUAAAAAGGCCUCAUUAUUUUAUUUUGGUUGUACAAGGGAAGCAAUGUAAAAUAUCUCUUCUUUUUUUUUCUCCACUACCCCACCCAAGGGAUCACACUAGCCACCACUAUAAAUUAUAAAUAUUAGCACAGCCUCUCUUACACACCUAACAUCUCUAGGGUUUGUGUCAAUGGCGGACGAAACUCACUAUUCAUCUCCCAAAGACUCUGCGCCCCUCAAACGCAAGUACGAAGACCAAUCCUCCGACAGGCCCACUGGCUUCUCGGCAGGUCCCGCCACCGGCAUCGAGCUCGCCAAGCAGCGUGCUCAAGAAGUUGCCGCCCGCCUCCUCAGCGUUGCUCCUCCUCCCCCGCUCGACGCCAAGCGUCCCAAAUCCGAUAACGGUGCUCCUACCUCCGGCUUCGAUUCUUAUGGUAACUAUCUGUCCCUCUCUGCUCCACACUUCUGCUCGUUUAGGUUAGGGUUUAUAAACUCUGAUUUCCGUGAACGUAGAUGCGAAGCCUCAGUACUCUGCUGUUCCUCCAGUCUCCUACAGUCACCAAGGAACGAGCAAGAAGAUUGAUAUCCCUAACGGCCGGGUUGGUGUGAUUAUUGGCAAAAGUGGAGAGACCAUUAAAUAUCUUCAGUUGCAGUCUGGUGCCAAAAUUCAAGUUACUCGCGAUAUGGACGCCGACCCUAAUUCUGCUACCAGGACCGUUGAGCUUAUGGGCACUCCCGAGGCAAUUGCCUCUGCAGAGAAACUCAUUAAUGAAGUUCUUGCCGAGGUUAAACUCAUUUUAUACUUCUCGUUUUCUUUUUCUGUCAAUCACAAAUGGACUAGAUUUCGUUUAUCUACCAAGGAGGAGUGUUUCCUGAUGAACUUCUCAAAUGUUUAAUUAUUGCAAUAUGUAUGAUGAUAACCUCUUCUAUACCAGGCUGAAUCUGGAGGCUCUGGCAUUGUUGCUCGAAGACUAACCGGACAAGCUGGGUCAGAUGAAUUUGUUAUGAGAAUCCCAAAUAAUAAGGUGUGAAAGGCAGAUUUGUUGAAGUGUAUGCUUUGUACAAUAUCAUAAGUGAUUCUCGAGUUCAGGUAUGUGGUUCUUCUGUCUGUUUGGAUUAAUAUGUUCAUUGUGGGCAUCUUCAGGUUGGCCUUAUUAUUGGAAAAGGUGGAGAAACCAUAAAGAAUAUGCAAGCUUCUACUGGCGCACGGAUUCAGGUUUUUACUUAUAAUUGAUACGACCGUAAUCUUAUUUGUGUAUUAGACAUAGGUGAUUUGCCGAUAUGGUGUUCUUUCUGUAGCCUUGAGAUUGCUACUAAUUUGAUAAGAGAUUGUGAUAACUGCCAACGCUCGGGACUUGGAAAUUUCUAUCGGAGUUCCUUGUGAUUAAUGUUCAUACGAUUAUUUCAGGUCAUACCUCUGCAUCUUCCUCCGGGUGACACAUCAACUGAAAGAACUUUAAAGAUUGAUGGGACACCUGAGCAAAUUGAGUCUGCAAAGGAGUUGGUUAAUCAAAUCAUCAGCGGCGAGGUAUGUUAAUGGUGCUUCCUUUUGCCACAGUUGGCUUAGGCAUAUCUACCUGGUUAAGCCAAGUCUAGUUCAGUGUUUACAAUUGUUGUUUUUCUACUUGAUUAUUCUACUUGAUUUUGUACCUGGUUAAGCCAAGUCUAGGUUAACUUACUUGCAAGCUUUAUGUGAUUGUUGUAUGAAUACUUUGUGCUUGUCAUUGCCUGUUGGACCUUUUUAUUUUUUUAUGAUAUUGAAAUAUAAAAUUAGAUCUGAUUGAUCCCUGUUGCUUGAUACAUGUUUUCUGUACUUUCUCCGAUUUGUUUCUUUACAGGUAAAAAGUUCGUUUGGUAAAUCAUGAGAUGGUUUUUACUUUAGUUUGCAUAAAUGAUUUUUAUUCUGUUCAUAUUAAUUAAUUUAUUGAUCUUAUUAAUGAUAUAUCAUAGCACUAUGACCAUUAUUACUUAACAGUGUAUAUUAUUGAUGUUUUCAUCUGGAAUGAAGAAGCUUAGCUGUAUGGCAAUUUUGAUGCGUAUUCUGGAUGCAUUGAUAUCUCUUCCAAAGCAGCUUAGCUGAUAGUGUCUGUUUAUGGAAGUAGUGAUUUCUUCAGAGUGUAAUGUGCCUUUGGCAAGUGGUUUCUAUAAUAUGAUACUUAAAUAUUGAUAUGACCUGUUACCUAUUGUGUUGUUCUCAAAAGAAAAUUAGUACAUUUAAUUUCAUAUUGUGCAAGUGUUUCAAGACUUUUACAAAGUAAUUCACUACGGUAGAAAAGAAACUAAGUCACUAGUGGCUGUUAUGAUGUUCUUGCUUGUAAUCUCCAACUCUCUUCAGUGUAACCUCAUCAGCUCGCCUUUUGGAAAUAUGUUUAGUGAGACCGUUCACUGCUAUAGCCGUCAUUUAUUAGUUGUAUUGUGGUGUGAACAACUGUAUAGUAUCUUGUUUUAUUAACAGUCUUGACAUACUAGCAAUAUGUGCCUUUCUUUAUGUUUAGCCUCGGAUUAGGUGAUGGUCAUUAACUUUCAGGGUCUUUCUAAUUAUGACUUGUAAACUGCGUACUUAUUUUGUGCAUGAGUAUUGUGCUCUGUAUAAUUAGCUAAUACGUCUUAUCCAUUAUCUCUUUUAUCCAUCCACAAACCAAUGACUUUGGUAGCAAUAUUUGAGAAUAGGCUCAGUUUUCUUGACUAAGAUACCAUACUUUUACAAAGACCUUAUUUUAACUGUGGUGUAGUUUUGCACCUGGCCCAGUGCUUUGGAGAGUUUCCUUUUUCGUUUUUAUUGGUUUAAAUCAGUGGGGGCUGCGAAGGCUACUGUUAUUAUGAAAUCUUUUGGUCCAGAUGGAUACUCAUUGAGAUUAUAGUCUCUCGACAUUGGAAUAUGCUUAUUAAUUGUGUAUCCUAUGACUGAUGUUGUUAUUGGGACUGUUGUAGGGUUAGUGUCUAUUGGACCAUUGGUGACACCAACAUGAAUCCAUUUGUUGGUGUUCCCUCAGCAUGCCCUGGUAUGGUUCUAAAUCUCAGUUUUGAUAUUUAUUAUCAAGGGCAGUAAGUCUCCUACUAUAUUUUUUGACUAUGGUGUCAUUAUUAGAUUGAAUAUUGAAUUAUAUUGAAAUAGUUUUCAACUACCAAGUGGUUUUCAGUUCAUUUCUCAAAAGAACCUUUAUGUACUUGGAAUAGUAUUUAUCCUCGUAUGUUAUACUGGACUUACAUUUGGCAUAGGUAAUCUGAGACGUGCCCAUUGUGCUGCACUUUAAUUAUUUUCUCUAUUCUAUUAUUUUUGUCCAGUUUUAAGUAGUAGUUUUCUUAACUAACCAGUUAUCUACAAGAUUUCUGCUAAGAUUUGUCUGUUGUACAUUUUGUGCUACUUCUAUUCUGCUUCAUCAUUCCUCUAUUUUCUUUUUCUUAUUAGUUAUCAACUUAAAUAAUAUUUAAUUUGAACUUUGAAUUCGUGAUCCUGAGGUUGAAUUAUUAGAUUGGGUUGUACAGAGGUUGAGAGAGGAUGUACAUGGGAGCACAAAAUAAUUGCCUCGACAGUCUGUAUAUUUGUAUUUAGAGUUGAGCCUUCAUCUUAAUACAUUGUUAAAUAUCUGUAGUUCCAGUCAGACUUGUUGAAUUAAUAUGAAUACAAGUAUUAUAUUGUAUAUUGAAUAGCGUAACAAUUGGAGUAAGAUCUUGCAUAUUUUGAGAUACUAUAUGACGGAUUGCCUUUUCAAGGCAAUAAAUAUUGAAUGCUUGUUUGCUUCUAUGGUCUGUGCUUUCUCUUGUACCCAUCCAAUUCGAAUAGGGAAAGGGUGUGCUUCUGCUGGAGUAACUCAGUUUUAUCACGAACCAGUACGGUAUGUAGGUAUUCAUAUCCCUUUCUGAUCUUGUAUGCAACCUGUUAAUGCAAGAUAACAUACCCUUUAUAUCGUGUUCAUUAUAUGUUGAUUUCUGCAUUUGUAGGUUUAACCUGUGUACGUGUGCAUAUGUUGCUUUCUGUACUUGUCUGAUGUAGAAACUUGGGUGAAUUCACUCCCUUUAUUUUUGUUUUCUAUUUGUCUGCACAGAAUCGACUUAGAAAUCCUUCAAUGUCUGGUGGGUAUCCUCAGCAAGGCUACCAAUCUCGACCACCCUCUAACUGGGGUCCCCCCGCACCAAUGCAGCAACCUGGUUAUGGCUAUGUUCAACCUGGAGCAUAUUCUGGUCCAUCACCUCAAUAUAACAUGCCUCAGCCACCAUAUUCAGGCUAUCCUCCCCAACAACCAGGUGGAUAUUCCACCAAUUGGGACCAGUCUUCUGCACCACCUCACCAACAGUCUACUCAUGCUGGUGGCUAUGAUUACUAUAGUCAACAACCACAACCGCAAAAUCCUGGAGGUCCUGCACCUCCAGCUGACGGCUCUGCAUACAAUUAUAGUCAACCACCUUCAUCUGCUUAUAGCCAACCGGGACAGGGUUAUGCUCAGGACAGCUAUAAUGCAUAUAAUGCACAAUCUCAUUCGGGGUAUGGACAACCACCAACGUAUGAUCAGCAACAAGGCUAUGGCUCCGUUACUGGCUAUGGUAGUGGGAAUAACCAAGCACAAGAGGGCCACACUUCGGGCUAUGCAUCGCAGGGAGAUUCAGCCCCAGCUCCAUCAACCCAACCGACCACCAUUGCACAGCAAGGUUAUCCUACCAGCCAACAGCCCAGCUCAAACACUUCCAACUACCCACCUCAGGGAACUCCUCAGUCGGGUUAUGGCGUCCCCCCUACAUCCCAAGCUGCUUAUGGAAGUCAACCACAACCAGGUUAUGGUCCUGGUUAUGGAGCCCCUCAAUCUCAGAAACCAAGUGGCAAUCCUUCUGUUUAUGGACAGUCGCAGUCACCUAGUGCAGUAGGAGGCUAUGGUCAGUCAGCAUAUCCUGCGCAGCCUCCACCUUCUGGUUAUACUCAACCCCAAGCAGAAACUGGUGCUCAGAGAGCACCUCCGUCGGGCUAUGGUGCAGGGCAACCAGGUUAUGGUUCUCAAGCAUAUGGUGCACCUCAGGGAGGCCAGCCUGCUUAUGGACAGGCGCCGCCUCCAUACACCAACAGUUCUUAUGGUGCUGGUUAUACUCAGGCUCCGGCCUAUACUGGCGAUGGUAAUGGCAGUGGGAAUACUCAGCCUCCCCAAACAACUGCUGCUAAAACUUCGCCCCAGACUUGAUAUUUUCCCCCCUCCCUCUUUUUCAUGGACUUCUUUUUAGUCGUGUUUUGUAGUUGUUUAUUCUACUAGCGAUACCCACCUAUGUAGCGUUGCAAUGUUUAGAUGUAAGGGUUCGUGUACUGAAAUUUCCUACAUGUUGAAUAUUUUUGUAUGGUUAAAUUGGAUCUCAUGGUGAUGGCAUUUGAAAAAAAUGGGGAACUUAAUUUAAGUUGCCAAACUAUGUGUCGAUUUUCAUCUAAUUUUUAGUGAGUUCAACUGAC